GAGUUUGAUCUUGGCUCAGAUUGAACGCUGGCGGCAGGCCUAACACAUGCAAGUCGAGCGGAUGAAGGGAGCUUGCUCCUGGAUUCAGCGGUGGACGGGUGAGUAAUGCCUAGGAAUCUGCCUGGUAGUGGGGAUAACGUCCGGAAACGGGCGCUAAUACCGCAUACGUCCUGAGGGAGAAAGGUGGGGAUCUUCGGACCUCACGCUAUCAGAUGAGCCUAGGUCGGAUUAGCUAGUUGGGUGGGGUAAAGGCCUACCAAGGCGACGAUCCGUAACUGGUCUGAGAGGAUGAUCAGUCACACUGGAACUGAGACACGGUCCAGACUCCUACGGGAGGCAGCAGUGGGGAAUAUUGGACAAUGGGCGAAAGCCUGAUCCAGCCAUGCCGCGUGUGUGAAGAAGGUCUUCGGAUUGUAAAGCACUUUAAGUUGGGAGGAAGGGCAGUAAGUUAAUACCUUGCUGUUUUGACGUUACCAACAGAAUAAGCACCGGCUAACUUCGUGCCAGCAGCCGCAA
rnacentral:rRNA from 1 species